UCGAUUCAGGUGUACAAAGUU
rnacentral:siRNA from 1 species